UUUGCCUUUAUAGUUGUGUGAUAUGCAGGUACUAAAGUUGCAAGAUAUGUUGAAUGUAUAUGCGCACAUAUGUUUUUGAAUAUAAUAUAAUUGUUAAUCUUUUCUCUCUCUUGGUUCUACCAAAGACAUUAAAGUAAAGAUACAAAAACUAUUCAAAAUGCAGACAUAUAUACAGGACUCCUACUUCAUGUUGGUAAUUAUGGGCAAAAAUUAUUAAUUUAUUAAUUAAUUAAGAGCUAGUAAACUGAAAUAGUUUAUAUGUCACCAGCAUUUCAACCUGUUGCCAUUUAUUGAGUAAUUAUUAACUUACUAAAUUCUUACACAAGUGUGUAUAUGUAAACCUAAUACUGUUUCUGAAUUAUAGCAAAUCCAGUCUGACAUCAACAUCCUGAUCAUUUUCUUCUAUUUCUAGGAAGAACAUAAGUGUCAUGGCCAUGCCAGUGACACAGGUCACAUCCUGGUGGUGGUUCCCCAUCUCUCCAGAGAUGCUGCUGGGGUGGCAUAGCCGGUUAGAAGGAAGAAGAUCUCUGAGGGUUUUUGAAUUGAAUGUGAAGCUGUGGCAUCCAGUUCCACUUCCUGUGCCUCUGUCUCCAUUUCUUUAAGACGUGUUUCACCUUCUCUUUCCUCACCUGAUUUAAGCAGGACUCUAGAAGACUUGAUGACUGCGUUUGUACAAGCAAGAAGACUCUCUGAAGACAACCAAGCUGCACCAUUGUGUUUUAGAAUGUCCUGUGAAAAAGACAACGUUAAUGUCAAUGUACUGCAAGCAGACUAAGCGGAAUAAUAACGAUUAUCUCACACCAAUCCUGUGGUAUUGUUAUCUUUAUAAUAUGGGGAAGAGAGCAAGCCACAGGUGGUUCUGAUCACCUUCCCAAGAUCGGUCACCUGGCUCCUUAGUGGAUGGUUACUACAAGAUAGUGGAUAUAGUUCCCUGUGCUAUACGUAUCCUCCUUCUGCCCGGAGUGGGGGAGGAUUGUUGCCAUAUCCUGACUGUCGUCUGCCGUACACAGUGGGACGUCGCUCCCUGACCUUUGCCUCUGACGGCAGCCCCGCACUCAUGUCUCAUCUGACUGCAUGGGGAUGGCUGGCGAAUACAGACAAAACACACGGGCCUGGAUUAUCUAUCAGAUACUUGAGUGUUAUCUGGUUGGGUAAGACAAGCAUAUCUCCAAUUGAUCAUCCCUAAACAAUUACAGACACAGGCUUUAGAAAUAUUAACUCUGGAACGGGCUUGUGAAUUGAACAUGACAGUUACCUAGAAGAGUUUGGUUGGGGCCUGUGGCAGCAGCAAAAUGAGUCCCCUUUGACUUCUGGUCCCAGCUAUGGAAGGGGGCAGAGCAACGAUACAGUGUGAUGGAGCAACAGCUAUAUGCCAGCGCCAAUGUGUUCCCGCAGGUGAAAGACACUACAAAAGGCCCACCCGUGUCAUCAAGCAGCGCAGAAAACGUGUGCAACAUGCAGAACCCCCGUGGACAGCGACAGCAGCCAAGGAGCCCACUUUGCCGGCCGUGCAGUUGAGGAUGGGCUGAUGAAAGUGCCAUACGCGGGUGUCUCCACCUGCCUGACAGCCCCUCUGCUGCCGGGCUAACGGACGGCUUCCGCAACAGUUCAGAUGGAAACCCGCUCUCUCAACAUGUGGACUAGAGGCUGACUCGGGCCUCCGAACUAUAACUAAACGUCCCAGGUGCAGUCGUCCCAGUGCCUGCGCCGUGUUAACCCAGAGGCAGCUAGUCAACACCACCUGAGUUCAGCUGUUGACCACCAAAGGACUGGUACCAGCUAUCAGUCAGGACAAUAACUCUCUUUUGCCCUUGCCACAGCAUCUGCCGCCGGGGGGAGCACACUAGGAAAAGGCCCUGGGACUGGCAGAGUUCCAGACAUUUUUGGAGUCAGAAAUGGACAAGAUGGCACCCACACUGGGCCCGGUACCUGUGACGCAUUUACCCAGAGGAGGAAUUAUCCGUGUGGCAUGCCGGCUUAGAACUCAGACCGCCACGCGAGAACCCCCCCACUCUGCUUGAGGAGCGAGCUCUUCACAGUAACUGUCCUCAGCACUCCUCGGAGAUGCCUUUCUCUCACUGAGGCAAAGCUGUGCUAAGGAUUUUGAUACUGCAAAUGCCAGGCCUUUUGAAGACUCCAAAUAACCUUUUCUGUCUAGGUAUAAACAUGUGUUUUCCUUCAAAAAUAUCCCCUAUCAACACAAACUCUCCAAACUUUUAGUUUCCUGCUAAAGCAGGAUAAAGUCAGCUUCUUCUGAGCCACCAGUUGUAACUUGUAAAUGAACUGAUCUUUCUGGUAUGAUGGGUUACCAGUUCCAUCAUCAUCAUCUCUUGUCCACUGACCAGAGAGGUUGUGGAUGACAGUUGUAUCUGGCAUUCUAUAUGGUUUCCCUAUCAACUCACUUCCGAGGCCCAGCAUUUGGCAGAGAACGCUCCACAUGAUGGAUUGUUAUUUUCAUCACUAUUGAGCUGAGCAUGCUUUUUAUCUGCAUUAUUUCAUUUAAUCCUUACAGUGAUCCUCUAAAGUACAAAGAAACUUGAAUGACCAGGACGUGGUCAUUACAGACAGAAGAAACGGCUUGAACCAGUGAACUGAUGCCCGAGCUCUUGUUCUUAACCACUUCAUUUAUGCUUCUCCAUGAAUGGUCUUUCUUAUAAUCAAAAUUAUACAAUGGAUUUUAAAAAUCUGUUAGAAGAGUAAAUUCUAAGAACAUAACAACUAACUCGUGAUCCAAAUGGAAGUUUUUCAUUAGUGUACGGAAGAUAGAGCUAGAGAGGUGUGUACAUGUACUUCUAAUUUACAAGUUGGUACACAAGAGCAGAAAACACAGUGAUAAAAGACUACUUCUGUCUUUUUAGACCCUUAGCAUCUUCUUCUACCACCUAACUGUUUCGAUGCAUAUUAUGCAGUGUCCUUCAGCUUCCCUACCACAGUCAAAUGGUUCUGAGCAGCUCUUUUGAGUGUAUGUGAUGAGGUUUAUUUUGAAUAAAGGGUGAAUGUGACUUUCGUUUUUCCCUGUGAUAUAUAAACACGAAUCAGUAAGGAUUUCUCUUGAAACUUCUCCAAGGAAUGGCAUGCAUUUCCAAUUAACCUUAUAACUUUUAACUGUUUGGCUAGAUUCCAUAACUGAUAGAUGUUAUUUUAAUUCAGAUAGAGAGAGAAUGCUCAGGCCAGAAAAUGGGGUAUGCAUCAACUUAUAGACACAUUUUGCUCCCCUAGUCAAUCAAUGCUUUUUGAGACCCAACGUACUUUGGUUGAUCUCUGUGAGUGACUGUUAUUGUCAGUUCUUAACAAAUUGCAAAAAUGACUUGCCCUAAAAAUCCAUCAAGUUGGUGACAAAACUCGCAUAGUGUCUAGGACAUCCAGGCUAUCAAUUACCUUUCAAGGGUGCAGGUCAAUGGAAAAUCACUUAAGCCUCUAUAAAAGAUGGCUUUUAAGGAGCAGUUUGGCUGAUGGAAACUGGUGGCCUGGGAGAGAGAAAGCACCUGAAGUCUGGCUAAAGAUGUGUGAUGAAAAUGAGAAAAACAUAAGGGCAGAAAGUAAGUAAAUAUUGGGAGAAUUUUUAAAAACACAUUUCUCUUCAUUACUGCCUACACGAGAGCAUCCAAAUCCUUUCACUCAACAUUCAAGGCCUUGUACAAGUUGGUGCUAACCACUUGUCAAGUCUUAUUUCCCAGAACUGUCCCAUGUGUUUCCCGCCCUGCCAUCACACUGCAGGCUUUUUCCCAGUUACGUGGCAUACACCUUCGUGUAUAGGUGCACCUGGUGUCUUUCCUCCUCUGCCCUCACCUUAUCUGCUUAGGGCUCGCCCACACGACUUAAUUUUACCUUAAUUACCUCUUUAAAGGCCCUGUCUCCAAAUCCUGUCACAUUCUAAGGUACUGCCAAUUAGGGCUUCAACAUACAAAUUUGGGGAGGACCCAAUUCAGCCCGUAACAAUAUCCACUACCUCAUUUAUCCUCACCAGCAAUAGCUGUAGCCUCCCUGUACCUCUGCACUGUUUUCAUGGUGAGCUUCUUCAAAAUACAGCACUUUUAUGCCUACCUCUACUUCGGGCCUCCACAGUCCAGACCUCAAGUCUACUUCAGAAAGGCUCUGUUCCUUAAUGAGCGAAUAAAGACAAUGCUUCCAAAUUCUAGGAUUUCUUACAGAGUUCAAAUUGUCAAAAGCCAAGCCCCCAUGUCAGUAUAAGAAGAAAACAGAAAAGCCACCUCCUUUUUUAGCACUGAGAAAACAGGAAAAAAAAAAAGGUAAUACUUUUUUGGGGGGUUAACAGUCAUUAACAGCUUGCAUAAGGGACUUAAAAGUGCAAAUGCUGGCCUAGUUAAGAAGGAUGACUAGUACGUACUACCGAGUAUACAGCCUACACUCUGACCCUGGGACCUGUGAAAGGUACCCCUGACAUGAAUGCCUCCUUUCAUGUGAAGAAAAGUGCUAACUUUUCAAAAGGGUCUUAAUUCCAGGCCAGAAUGGAAAGCACUGUGUCUACUACAGUACAUUGACUAGAUUAGAGUUCUGCAGACUUCCUUGUUUCCACGCUCGUCAGGGGUAAGCAGGGGACUCCUAGGCAGCAUGAACACAUUAGGUUUUGCAGGUCUCACCCAUUUCUCUCUCUCUCAAAUCACUCUCAAAUCGUGCCCAGAAAAAGCAAUCCCCUGCAAUCCAAUGCAUUUCAGCACUGCAUUUGAGCUCCAGGUGGAAGACACAGUGGAUGAAACAUUCACCAUGACCUAGAUUUGGAGCUGGCCCAACGUGAAGCCUGCCGUACUUCAGAAGGGGAGUCACUAUCUCCUGUCCUCUUUUCACUCAGGUGUUGAAAAGUGGGGAAACAAUGCAAAGGUCCAAGACAUGAUCAUAUGAUACCUCCUGUCCAAACAAGAAUUAUUUCCCUUUCUUUUAUGAGGUGGGAAGAUUUGAAUCACCCCUGUGGGAAGGAUGUUUUUAAAAUGUUUUGGCAGGUGAGGGGCUGCUGAUUCUGCCCUUACCAAGUCACUGAUUAUUUCUCUCCCCCUUUCUUUUCCCUUUCACUUCCUCAGGCUUUUAAUAGGAACAGUUUAUAUAAAUAUGAUGAUGCAACUUAUGUGUGAAAAUAAAUGCAAACAGCUAUUAAAUGUUCAGGAAGUAGCAUAACCGUCUUUCAACACAAUUUCUACUGGUGAGUGUUUUUUCAUAAUUUCCCAGAUCUACUGCCAAAGAGCAUCUCCCAGAGAUCUUUGUAGCCGUGUAUGCAUCCAAACUAUGGCUGCAAGAAACCCAAGGUGCUGUAUGGAAAGGAACACUUUCAAGAUUUGAAAUUUAAGAAAUUUUUUGCCAUUAGAUGAUAGACUUUCACAUCAAUAUUUAACUAGCAAGGUUUUCAUCUUGGGGUACAUGAAUAUAUAUUUGAUUUUUGGUUCUGGAAUCUUCUAAAAAUAUAUAUGUGGGCCAGUUUGUUUCCUUGAUUUUAUUAACCAUGCCCUCUUUUCAGAAGAAUUUAGGAUGGCCAAUAGGCACAUGAAAAGAUGCUCAAACAUCGCUAAUUAUUAGAGAAAUGCAAAUCAAAACUACAAUGAGAUAUACGCUCUCACCAGUCAGAAUGGUAAUCAUCAAAAAAGUCUACAAAUAAUAAAUGCUAGAGAGGUGUGGAGAGAAGGAAACCCUCCUACACUGUUGGUGGGAAGGUAAAUUGGUGCUGCUACUCUGGAGGGUCCUUAAAAAACUAAAACUAGAGUUAACCAUAUGAUCCAGCAAUCCUACUCCUGGGCAUAUAUCCAGAAAAGAUGAAAACUUUAAUUUAAAAAGAUAAUUCGAAAAGAUACAUGCACCCUAAUGUUCAUAGCAGCACUAUUUACAAUAACCAAGACAUGGAAGCAACCUAAAUGUCCACCAACAGAUGACUGGAUAAAGAAGAUGUUACAUAUACAAUGGAAUGUUACACCGCCAUAAAAAAUGAAAUAAUGCCAUUUGCAGCAAUAUGGACAGACCUAGAAAUUAUCAUACUAAAUGAAGUAAGUCAGAUAAAGACAAAUAUCAUAUGAUAUCACUUAUAUGUAAAAUCCCCCCAAAAAUGAUACAAAUGAACUUAUUUACAAAACAGAAAUAGACUCAUACACAUAGAAAAUAAACUUAUGUGUUACUAAAGGGGAAAGGCAGGGGAGGGAUAAAUUAGUCUGGGAUUAACAGAUACACAUUACUACAUAUAAAAUAGAUAAACAACAAGGACCUACUUAUGGCACAGGGAACUAUACUCAAUAUCUUGUAAUAACCUAUAAUGGAAAAUAUGAAAAAGAAUAUACGAACAUAUGUGUGUAUAUACACAUACAUAUAUCUGAAUCACUUUGCUGUACACCUGGAACAUAACAUUGCAAAUCAACUAUACUUCAAUUUUAAAAAAUUAGUCAAUGAUGACUAUUACAGCAUCCAAAAUGCAAGGCUUUGUUAGAAGACUCUAUCAGUGCACAAAGUUAUAGGCAGUUAUGGGAAAGUAAGCAUUUUUCUUAAUGAGCCUUGAUUUCCCCCUUGCCUAUGUGUAUUGGGCUGUGAAAAUACCUAUUAGUAUUUUUUUUCCAGAUCUGUGCUGUAUAUGUGCACGUCUGCCUAGUAUGUCUCGUCCUCUCUCUCAUCACUCCUUAGAGCUCUUCCUGUUCUGUCUCUAAUUGUUGGGCAGUAAGAGAGAUGGAGGGUCAGGCUAAGCAAGUAGAGCUUGCAGAGAGCAGAAGCAGAUUUACUAACUUUGAUGAUGGCUCCUAGUGAGUCCUUACCAUACACAUGGCUGGGUUGCCAUAAAGCCAGCUGAGCCGAUCACCCUAAAUAGAUUAAAAGAUGACAUCGACAGAUUUUAAGCAGAAAUGAUUUCAUUCUCUCCUCUCACCAGUUACAUGGUUAGCUGCUUCACGCACUGAUUUGUUAUACCACAUAGGGCUGGCUCACAGUCCCUGCCAGCCUUUUGAAGUCUUGAUGGCAUCGGAAACUGACUGUCUCCUGGGAACGCGCAAGAAAGGAGGUCUGAGCUCCUCUCCUUCAAGGACACUCUCUUCAAUCCAUUAUCUCCUACUCAUGUGCAACAGUCUAGUCUAUCAAAAUAUGGUGAUUGAAUAAAAACUUUAUUUCAG